rnacentral:rRNA from 1 species
AAUGUAGGCGGUUUUGUAAGUCAGAGGUGAAAUCCCUCAGCUUAACUGAGGAAUUGCCUUUGAUACUGCUUAGCUUGAGGACAGGAGAGGAAAGUGGAAUUCCCGGUGUAGCGGUGGAAUGCGUAGAUAUCGGGAGGAACACCAGAGGCGAAGGCGGCUUUCUGGACUGAUCCUGACGCUGAGAUUCGAAAGCCAGGGGAGCAAACA